AAGCGGUGGAGCAUGUGGCUUAAUUCGAGGCAACGCGAAGAACCUUAUCCUGGGUUUGACAUGCAUGGAUUAACCCAAUGAAAGUUGGGCCACGCUCGCAAGAGUGGAACAUGCACAGGUGCUGCAUGGCUGUCGUCAGCUCGUGUCGUGAGAUGUCGCGUUAAGUCGCUAAACGAGCGAAACCCUUAUCCUUAGUUGCCAGCGAGUUAUGUCGGGGACUCUAAGGAGACUGCCGGUGUCAAACCGGAGGAAGGCGGGGAUG
rnacentral:rRNA from 1 species